GACACAGGCCGCGCAGCAGUCGUGACAAUUGGAGGUCCCACUGAGAUCGUGAAAGCGAGACUGCUCAGGGAAUAGUCCGUCUUCCUAGAAGUGUGGAGUUCAGUCUGGUGGCAGCUGUCUGCACUGGAUGCGCAUGCCUCUGUGCUUCUACUACUACUCUUCCGCGACACUACCAUACCUACAGCAACAGGCCUUUCAAAUUUAUUCUGGCAGUUUGGGCUCUUCAUUUUGUAUAUACGCAUUAAAAUUCACUUUUGAAGUUUCUUCAAAAACA